AACGAACGCUGGCGGCAUGCCUAACACAUGCAAGUCGAACGAGACCUUCGGGUCUAGUGGCGCACGGGUGCGUAACGCGUGGGAACCUGCCCUUAGGUUCGGAAUAACUCCCCGAAAGGGGUGCUAAUACCGGAUAAUGUCUUCGGACCAAAGAUUUAUCGCCUUUGGAUGGGCCCGCGUUGGAUUAGCUAGUUGGUAGGGUAAAAGCCUGCCAAGGCGACGAUCCAUAGCUGGUCUGAGAGGAUGAUCAGCCACACUGGGACUGAGACACGGCCCAGACUCCUACGGGAGGCAGCAGUAGGGAAUAUUGGACAAUGGGCGCAAGCCUGAUACAGCAAUGCCGCGUGAGUGAUGAAGGCCUUAGGGUUGUAAAGCUCUUUGACCCGGGAUGAUAAUGACAGUACCGGGAGAAUAAGCUCCGGCUAACUACGUG
rnacentral:rRNA from 1 species